AAGCGAAACAAGCAAGGUUCGCGCCUUGCUUGUCUGCCUAGCGUGGUUGCUAGGCACUGAUGAGCAGCCAGUA
rnacentral:hammerhead_ribozyme from 1 species